UUGACUCAAUGGUUUCAGAAAGAGGAAGGUAUGAGUCCAUCAAAGAGUUCACUUCUGUUGCUGCCAUUCUAGCAAGGUUGGAAAAACAUAUCCCAUCCAAGCCUUAAGAGCCUGUUUCCAUCUUCCCGCCCACCUGUAUCCCAGCAAGACAUCACACGGAGCUAAAAGUUAACUCGACUUGAGUUGCUGAGACUCUACAUUUACACCUGUAAAUUUCUGCAUCCCGUUUAAUUUAUGUAAAAUUUUUUUACAAAUUCAUCCAUUCCUGCUGUGC